rnacentral:rRNA from 1 species
GGUUAAUUAAAAUUAAAAAUUUAAAAUAAAUUGAUCUCGAAUUUAAAAGAUUUAAUUAAAAAUUUUAAGUUUAUGUUAAAUUAUAAUUAUUAAUUUUUAAUUGGAAGUGAAAUAUUAAUCAAUUUUAAAUAUAUCUAGUUUUUUUAGAAUUGAAUUUAAUUCAGCUUUAAAAUUUAUUUAGAUUUAUAAAAUUUAUUUUAUUAAAAUUAAUUUUAAAGUAAAUAUAGUUGGGAUAAAUUGAUUAUAUGAAGUUAUAAAUUAAUUUUUAAUAAUUUGUUAUUAUAAAUAAUAUUAAAAUUAUAUAUUUUUAAUAAAAAUGUUUAAAUUUAUAAAUUAUAUUUUUUUAAAAAUUAUUAAAUUUGAAUUUUAAUUUUUUAUAAAAAUUUAUUAAUUAAUAAUUAAUUAUAAAAAAUAAUGAUUAUAUUAGUAAAAUAUUUUAAUGUUUAAAUAAUUUAAAUAGUAAAUGAAUAAAUAAAUUUAAGGAAUUAGGCAAAAAUUUUAAUUUUUAAAUUUGUAUUUACCUGUUUAUCAAAAACAUGUCUUAUUGAUGAAAAUAAUAAGUUUAUUCUGCCCAUUGAAUAUUAAAAUUUAAAAGGCUGCAGUAUAAUGACUGUACAAAGGUAGCAAAAUCAAUAGUUUUUUAAUUGAAAACUGGAAUGAAAGAAUUAAUAAAAUAUAUUCUGUCUCAAAUUUAAUAUUUAAUUAAAUUUAAAUAAGAAGUUAAAAUGCUUUUAUAAAUUUAUUAGACGAUAAGACCCUAAGAAUUUAAUAUAAUUUUUUUAUAGAAAUAUUUUAUGAAUUUAUAUAUAUAUAUAAUAUAAUUAAAUUUAUAUUUUAUUGGGAGGGUAAUUAAAUUUUUGAAACUUUAAUUAUUUAUAAACAUAGAUAAAUGGUUAUUAAUGAUAAUGUAA